AGAGUUUGAUCCUGGCUCAGAACGAACGCUGGCGGCGUGGAUAAGACAUGCAAGUCGGACGAGAUUUUCCGUUGUAGCAAUACGAUGGAAAGUCUAGUGGCGAACGGGUGCUUAACACGUGGGCAACCUGCCAAGAAGUGGGGGAUAGCUCGCCGAAAGGCGAAUUAAUACCGCAUGUGAUCAGAGAGGACAUCCUUUCGAAAUUAAAGUCGGGGCAACCUGACGCUUUUUGUGGGGCCCGCGGCCUAUCAGCUAGUUGGUGAGGUAACGGCCCACCAAGGCUUUGACGGGUAGCUGGUCUGAGAGGACGACCAGCCACACUGGGACUGAGACACGGCCCAGACACCUACGGGUGGCAGCAGUCGAGAAUUUUUGACAAUGGGGGAAACCCUGAUCGAGCGACGCCGCGUGGAGGAUGAAGGUCUUCGGAUUGUAAACUCCUGUCAUUGGGGAACAAUGCGUGACGGUUAACUGCCGUUGCGUUGAUAGUACCCGAAGAGGAAGAGACGGCUAACUCUGUGCCAGCAGCCGCGGUAAUACAGAGGUCUCAAGCGUUGUUCGGAUUCAUUGGGCGUAAAGGGUGCGUAGGCGGCGCGGUAAGUCGGGUGUGAAAUCUCGGAGCUUAACUCCGAAACUGCAUUCGAUACUGCCGUGCUUGAGGACUGGAGAGGAGACUGGAAUUUACGGUGUAGCGGUGAAAUGCGUAGAUAUCGUAAGGAAGACCAGUGGCGAAGGCGGGUCUCUGGACAGUUCCUGACGCUGAGGCACGAAGGCCAGGGGAGCAAACGGGAUUAGAUACCCCGGUAGUCC
rnacentral:rRNA from 1 species